rnacentral:rRNA from 1 species
GAUGAACGCUGGCGGCGUGCCUAAUACAUGCAAGUCGAGCGAACAGAUGAGGAGCUUGCUCCUCUGACGUUAGCGGCGGACGGGUGAGUAACACGUGGAUAACCUACCUAUAAGACUGGGAUAACUUCGGGAAACCGGAGCUAAUACCGGAUAAUAUAUUGAACCGCAUGGUUCAAUAGUGAAAGACGGUUUUGCCGUCACUUAUAGAUGGAUCCGCGCCGCAUUAGCUAGUUGGUAAGGUAACGGCUUACCAAGGCAACGAUGCGUAGCCGACCUGAGAGGGUGAUCGGCCACACUGGAACUGAGACACGGUCCAGACUCCUACGGGAGGCAGCAGUAGGGAAUCUUCCGCAAAGGGCGAAAGCUUGACGGAGCAACGCCGCGUGAGUGAUGAAGGUCUUCGGAUCGUAAAACUCUGUUAUUAGGGAAGAACAAAUGUGUAAGUAACUAUGCACGUCUUGACGGUACCUAAUCAGAAAGCCACGGCUAACUACGUG